rnacentral:rRNA from 1 species
CUGCAGCCCGAGUGGUGGUCGAUAUUAUUGAGCCUAAAGCGUCCGUAGCCGGACCAGUAAAUUCUUGGGUAAAUCGGGCAGCUUAACUGUCCGACUUCCGAGGAGACUGUUGGUCUUGGGACUGGGAGAGGUCAGAGGUACUCCAGGGGUAGGGGCUAAAUCCUGUAAUCCUUGGGGGACCACCAGUGGCGAAGGCGUCUGACUAGAACGGAUCCGACGGUAAGGGACGAAACCCUGGGGCGCAAACCGGAUUAGAGACCCGAGUAGUCC